rnacentral:rRNA from 1 species
UCCGGUGGUUCUGAAUGGAAGGGCCAUCGCUCAACGGAUAAAAGGUACUCCGGGGAUAACAGGCUGAUACCGCCCAAGAGUUCAUAUCGACGGCGGUGUUUGGCACCUCGAUGUCGGCUCAUCACAUCCUGGGGCUGAAGUAGGUCCCAAGGGUAUGGCUGUUCGCCAUUUAAAGUGGUACGCGAGCUGGGUUUAGAACGUCGUGAGACAGUUCGGUCCCUAUCUGCCGUGGGCGCUGGAGAACUGAGGGGGGCUGCUCCUAGUACGAGAGGACCGGAGUGGACGCAUCACUGGUGUUCGGGUUGUCAUGCCAAUGGCACUGCCCGGUAGCUAAAUGCGGAAGAGAUAAGUGCUGAAAGCAUCUAAGCACGAAACUUGCCCCGAGAUGAGUUCUCCCUGACUCCUUGAGAGUCCUGAAGGAACGUUGAAGACGACGACGUUGAUAGGCCGGGUGUGUAAGCGCAGCGAUGCGUUGAGCUAACCGGUACUAAUGAACCGUGAGG